CUCCUCUCCCCACACCGCUCCCACGACCGCACCUACCUCCCGAUCCCCUCCGCAAUGAGCACUGCUAUACAGCCGACACUUAUUAGACGACACGCGCACGACGUUUGCCAUCUAGCCAUCGGCGGCGUUGUUCCUAGAGUAUCCUACGGUGGGGAGGAUUUAUCGGCUGCACAUCGUGCACUCACCAUCGUGUGUAGAUCAAUCCGCUCCGCAAUCUUCCUCUCGUCACCAACCUCCCACCACGCCGCCCAGGAUCUCCACCACCGGCCACCGCGCCGCGCACCACGCACCCCCCUCCGCCGGCCGCCGCGGGAGCCAUCCCACCCGCGCCGCGCAUCACCUCCCCUCCCUUCCCAACGCCACACGACGGUCUGGAUUUCGCCCACGCCUCCCAUCCCGACCUCCCUCCCCACCAGGCCCCGGCCGCCCCUCCCCAGACCACUGCCGCCACCCCUCCACAGCCAGCUGCCGCGCCGCCCCUUCCUAUGCCGGCGCUGCUCCGCCCCUUCCCAGGCCGCCACCGCGCCCCUGCCCGCGAGCACCGUGGGCGUUGACUGCCGCUACAACCCCCGCCUCGGUGAUCUCUUUCUGCAUCGUAGCGGCCAAAUCCAGUGCCGUGCAGUCAAUUGCAUGGGUGCAUGAAUCACGCCCAUCCUGCACCCCUGGAUAGCCCACGAGAUCUUGCUACUGGGAGGGCAAGGUUUGAGCGGUUCGGGUGGUGCUCCACUGCAGCUCGGUUGCUGGAGGGAGGGCGGUGGUGAUGUGCAGUCAUGGGGGUUGGAUGCCCAGCGCCCUCCUCUUCUGCCCUUCCUCCACCCUUUUUCUUAGGCCCGGUGAGCCUCCAUUCCCGACUACCAACUCUGUAGGUCCACUAACUUAGAUGCGUGUGACCUUCUCUGAUGUGCGCCUCACUAGUGGGGCCCCACAUCGCCGGCGUCGGCCUCCAACGAGCAGUGGCCCGAGCUUGUCUCUUCAUUUUUCUGCUCGUGCACCUCCCGUUUAGACCCUGUUGUUUGUGGGCACAAGCGAUGCAGUCCACUAUGUAUUCAGGUAGUGCAAUGUGCUAGAAUCCUUUUGUUGGAGGUGACUGCUGCUCCUCGCCACCCAUCUCCUUCCUCUACUGCAGAAGGAAGGCUCGCAACGUCUCCAUGUAGUUCGCCCCUGGCAGCGACACCAUGGCUGUGUGUGGCAUGCAUGCGCUUGGUGAAACCAAAGCCAAACCCGAAGUGAAGAAUGAAGAACAGAGGUCUGUGAUAGAAAAGUUUCCAUCAAGUGUUCCUGUGAUUGGUCCUGCAAUGAAAGGAGUAGCUUCCGUGGGCAGGUGAUCAAACAUCUAGUUUGAUAUGCGCUGAUUCAAAAUUUCAGAUUAGUUACUGAAUAUUGUUACUCAGGAAGUACUAGUUCUUGGGGCUGAUUGCACUCUUAAUUUCAGUCACAAGGACGAGUUCUUUUCAACCUUGCAGCACUCUUGGCUUGGCUUGCGGCUGUUGUGGCUAGACGUUAGGAUUUCGUCCAGAUUAUUGCUGAAGCUAGCCAACGGGAAAAGACUCUCUAGAAGAGAGAGGAGCCAGCUGACCCGCAGCUGCAGACUUAUUCAAGCUGGUCCCCUUUUUGGUUUUUGUCGUAGUCCCAUUCUCUGUUUUUCACUGCACCAAAACCAUUGCAGCUCUGGAUAGUGGAUAGGUGCGGUGCGGCUAACGCACUGUUGCAGUGCGGAGUGUUUUUGGUGCAGGUUUGAGUGUUAUUGACGCAGUGCAGAGUCCUCUCUAAGCAGUCCAUAGCAUUUUUUUAUUUUUUCAGGUCUGGCCUUGUGUUUUAUCUGUAGUUCAUUAAAGUGGAGUUUCUAGCAGAUUA